ACGGAGGGUGCAAGCGUUGUCCGGAUUUAUUGGGUUUAAAGGGUGCGUAGGUGGCCUAUUAAGUCAGUGGUGAAAUGCUGCAGCUCAACUGUAGCACUGCCAUUGAUACUGAUAGGCUUGAGUAUUGUUGAGGCAGGCGGAAUUUAUGAUGUAGCGGUGAAAUGCAUAGAUAUCAUAAAGAACACCGAUAGCGAAGGCAGCUUGCUAAACGAUAACUGACACUAAUGCACGAAAGUGUGGGUAGCGAACAGG
rnacentral:rRNA from 1 species